rnacentral:rRNA from 1 species
UCUUGACCUCGGAUCAGGUAGGGAUACCCGCUGAACUUAAGCAUAUCAAUAAGCG